rnacentral:tRNA from 1 species
GGAUAUAUAGCUCAGUGGUAGAGUAUGUGCUUAGCAUGCAUUAGGUCCUAGGUUCAACCCCCAGGAUCUCCA